UAGACAACCAGGAGGUUGGCUUAGAAGCAGCCAUCCUUUAAAGAAAGCGUAAUAGCUCACUGGUCUAGAUAAGCCGGCCUGCGCCGAAGAUGUACCGGGGCUCAAGCCGCCCGCCGAAGCUGAGGAUUCAGUUGGUUCUGCCAACUGUCUGGUAGCGGAGCGUUCCGUAAGCCUGCGAAGGGGUCCUGUGAGGGGCCCUGGAGGUAUCGGAAGUGAGAAUGCUGACAUGAGUAGCGACAAAGAGUGUGAGAAACACUCUCGCCGUAAGUCCAAGGGUUCCUGCGCAAGGCUAAUCCGCGCAGGGUGAGUCGGCCCCUAAGGCGAGACCGAAAGGUGUAGUCGAUGGGAAACGGGUUAAUAUUCCCGUACCUUGGAUAGCUGCGAUGGAGAGACGGAGAAGGCUAGGUGAGCCGGGCGACGGUUGUCCCGGUUUAAGCGAGUAGGGAGUGGACUUAGGCAAAUCCGGGUCCACAAUCUCGAGACGCGACGACGACUGCUCCUAGAGCGGGAAGUCAUUGAUGCCAUGCUUCCAGGAAAAUCUUCUAAGCUUCAGGCUAUUCGAGACCGUACCCCAAACCGACACAGGUGGUCAGGUAGAGAAUACCAAGGCGCUUGAGAGAACUCGGGUAAAGGAACUAGGCAAAAUGGUGCCGUAACUUCGGGAGAAGGCACGCUGGUGGUAAGUGAAAUCCCUGCGGGUGGAGCUGAAGCCAGUCGAAGAUACCAGGCCCCUGCGACUGUUUAUUAAAAACACAGCACUGUGCAAACACGAAAGUGGACGUAUACGGUGUGACGCCUGCCCGGUGCCGGAAGG
rnacentral:rRNA from 1 species